UCACCACCCGACUUGAGCCAUGUGCACUCUUUAACAAACGAAUUCACCUAUUUGCAGAACCUUGAUUUAUGUUUGUGUUCACAAGUUCAUUUUGCGGUCGUCGAGCCCUUCUUAUGAUUCCAGUAUCACCAUCAGCAGAUACAUUACAAUUUCUUGGUUCCUCAUAAUCAUUAACUACAUUGCUCACUUGGCCCAUGCUAACAUCGGAUGAAAAGGUCAUCUGGGCAUCAUUUUGAUUUUGAAAUAACCCAACAUUUCCCUUCUGCUCAACGGCACUAUGGUCAAAGGGGACGCCAACGGUGCUGAAAAACUCUGGCGCUGUCCCCAAAGGAACAUUCCUGUCCAUUGCCUCCUCAGGAUAUGGAACUUGCAUAGACUGCAGCAUACAUACAAUUAGACUAUCAUUAAAAAGGAGACACAAGAAAAUCGUGUUACAGCCAGAGUUGACACUAGGAGUUAGGAAGCUACCACAUGUUACCAUCAUGGCAGAACCUACCCGGAAAGACAAAGCAAAAGCGUUAAAGCUGUGUUUACUCACAGGCAUAUUGGUUACUUUUAAAUCUGAGUCACUACCCCAUCCGCUGUCCUUAACAUUAAACAAGGGGUAGUUCAUUGGUUGACUUCCGGUCUCCUCAUAGGAGAGUUGAUCCGAAGUAAGUGACUCGAAAAGGUCUGAAAUACCUGUCUCAUUUGUACCAUAUUGAAGCCCACUUAGACCAUCUGGUUCAUUGCUUGCUUGAUAAUCAAAUACUUGUGGAAGAUGCACAAGUGCCGGGGAGAAUAAUAUGUCAUCAAAUAGAUCAUUUUCUAGAUCAGAAAAUAUGUCCGAGUUCAACAGCUGAUUCUCCUGUAGGGAACAUCGUGUAAAAAUACACAGAUCAAUAAACCAAAUAAGGGAGAAUGAAAACAAUAAAAGAAAUGAAGGAAUCUAUCUAUACAGAUCAAAGAUUAACACAGUUAGGCCAUCUAACCUCUAGAGCCAGUUUUACAUUCUGAGGUUGGGCAUUAUGAGCAUCAUAUUCAUCACUAUUGCGAUCAACUGGUGUUAUAAUGUUGGAUGUUGUUUCCUCAGAGGUCUCACGGAUAAUUGCCUGGGUCUUAUCUUCUGUAAGCAGUGAUGAGGAUACAGCAACAGGAGGUAGAGGAGUAUCGGAUUGUACAUCUUCAGGAGAAUACUUGGCAGCCAUAGGAGUUGAAGCUGUCUUCUCCACUUCACCACAGUUUGAAACUUCAAUGCUCUCAUCUUGUUUCUUAAAUAAUCGACAAAUGACAUAUGGAUUCUGGUCCAAGUCAAAUAGACCAAAUUGACAAUUUAGUAACUAUCAUCAUAUUCAUAUAAUUCAUUAGCUAGUAAGUUGCAAUAACAGUACAGAAAUUAAUAAUUACAAAUUAGUUGAAGUAAUGAAUAAGGAUUAAGGAACAAGAAUGCAAGAGCGUAGUCUAAGAACCUUCACAAGAAUCUAAAGCCCUUGUUCUUUAUAAUACAAAUAAUUAUAAGGGGGAAUUAUUUCUAAGAGAGAUUUGUAUGCAAUGUCACAGAGGUUGAUCUCAAACUCAACAAACAAGAGCUUCAGAUAGAGAUAUAAGAUCUUGAAGGCGUAUCAGAUUUAAAAACAUGAGAUUUCAGCUUCAGCGAGUAGGAACAAAGCAACCCUUAAAUAAAAAGGGAAUGAGACUCAGACACAAGAAACAAAACAAUAAUAAAAAAUUCACAAAAUUGUAUAGCUAUUGGAAUUCACAAAGAUCCAAUGUCAACUAAAAUCCCAUGAUAAUGAAGACACAUUAAAAAACUAAUGUAACAUAAUCAAGAGAAUCGACCUGUCCAGGAUUGGUACCAUCAAGCUCCUGCAAGGUGGGCUGGUACUCAUGCAUCACCCAAUUUGUCCUCUUCCCUCUGGGUGCACGCCCAUUAUAGAAUACCAAAGUCUUCUUUAUUCCAAUCAAGCUGGACCCAGACUUGACUUUACGAUCCCUGCCUGUUGCUUUCCAAAAUCCAUGUUCUGUUGCUCGGUUCACUAGAUUCCCAUUUGGAUACUUCCUGUCCUGUGGACAGAAGAAGAACCACUCCGGAUCCUUGUUCCGUAUCACUGACAAAUCUGCAACAAAACCAAACCACCACCCAAGAAAUUAAUAAAUAAAAAAUAGCAAAUAAAAUAACAUAACCACCUCAAACUCCAAGCCUACUAGCUCUUACAGAGCAGCCCCACACUCAUACUUGUAAUCAAAAUAAGCACUCAGGGGUAAGUACAUAACAAUCAAAUUUAUAAACAUAGUUUAUGAAUUAUGAUAUACCCUUUCAGCUUACUUAAGCUUCAAUAUUGAGUACUGGUUAAGCUAUUCUGAUAUAAUCUCUCAUGUAAUGAACUCAUUGAACCAACGACAGCUCUAUUAAUAGCAAGUUGUGAUUGGUGGUGGCACAUAAUCCAAAGUACAAUAACUCCAUAAGCUAGACUUCUACUAUGUUUGGAUCAGAUUAUCUUUCAUCUAAAUCAAAUCUGAAACCGAGAAGCUUGUUCCCAGAUUUGAUUCGGACAAUUUUAGAAGAAUUUCUAAGUGCAUGUUUGGAAAUGCUUCUUCCCAGAAUUGAUUCAUCAGAAGCAAUUGUAGAAGUAUUUCUAAGUACAUGUUUGGAAACUCGUUUGAAGACCACCAUGAAGCAAAAAAUCAUGGUGGAUGGAAGCAACUUCUCUUAAUUUUUGCAUCUGUCCGCCGUGAUUUUGGUUUCACAGUGAUUUUCAAAAACGGUCUAAACACAUGAUCAGUGCAUAUUAAAAUCAGAAUUUGCAUGUCUUGAAAUUUUGAACUUCACUGAAUCAGCGAGAGAAAAAAAGUACCGGGUAAAUCCCAGGGCUCCCAUUUGCAGACAUCGAUUUCUCGGAUAACCCAAACAUCAUCACCAUUACCGUUGAUCUUCUGCCUGAGGUAGAAAUCGAUGAUUUCCUCAUCCGAUGGCCGGAAUCGGAUCGCAAUCGGCAGAGAAUUCAAAGACAACACCGGCUUGGAUGUUGUUUCCUCUGAGGUCUCAGGGAUAAUUGGCUUGGGUUUAACAUUUUCUGUAAGCAGUGACGAGGAUAAAGCAACAACAGGUAGAGGAGUAUCGGAUUGUACUUCUUCAGGACAAUACUUGGCAGCAAUAGGAGUUGAAGCUGUCUGCUCAACUUCACCACAGUUUGAAACUUCAAUGCUCUCAUCAUGUUUCUUAAAUAAUCGACAAAUGACAUAUGGAUUCUGGUACAAGUCAAAUAGACCAAAUUGACAAUUUAGUAACUAUCAUCAUAUUCAUAUAAUGCAUUAGCUAGUAAGUUGCAAUAGCAGUACGGUCGGAAAUUAAUAAAUACAAGUUAGUUGAAGUAAUGCAUAAGGAUUAAGGAACAAGAAUGCAAGAGCAGUCUAAGAACCUUCACAAGAAUAUGAAGCCUUUGUUCUUUAUAUUCCAAAUAAUUGUAUGCAAUGUCACAGAGGUUGAUCUCAAACUCAACAAACAAGAGCUUCAGAUAGAUAUAAGACCUUGAAGGCGUAUCAAAUUUAAAAGCAUGAGUUUUCAGCUUCAGCAAGUAGUAACAAAGCAACCCUUAAAUAAAAAGGGAAUGAGACUAAGACACAAGAAACAAAACAAUGACAAAAGAAUUCACAAAAUUGUAUAGCUAUUGCAAUUCACAAAGAUCCAAUGUCAACUAAAACGCCAUGCUAACAAAGACACAUAAAAAAACUAAUGUAACAUAAUCAAGAGAGUCGACCUGUCCAGGAUUGGUGCCAUCAAGCUCCUGCAGGGUGGUCCGGUACUCAUGCAUCACCCAGUUGGUCCUCUUCCCUUUGGGUGCACGACCAUGAUAGAAUACCAAAGUCUUCUUCAUUCCAAUCAAGCUGGACCCAGACUUGAUUUUACGAUCAAUGCCCGUUGCCUUCCAAUACCCAUGUCCUGUUGCUCGCUUCAAACGAUUCCCAUUCGGAUACUUCCUGUCCAGUGGACAGAAGAAGAACCACUCCGGAUCCUUGUUCCUUAUCACUGAAAAAUCUGCAACAUAACCAAACCACCACCCAAGAAAUUAAUAAAAAAAAAUUGCAAAUAAAAUAACAUAACCACCUCAACCUCCAAGGCUGCCAGCUCUUACAGAGCAGCCCCACACUCAUACUUGUCAUAAUAAUAAGCACUCUGAGGUAAGUAAAUGCAAAUCAAAUUUAUAAAAAUAGCUUAUGAAUUAUGAUAUACCCUUUCAUCUUACUUAAGCUUCAAUAUUAAGUACUGGUUAAGCUAUUCUGAUAUAACCUCUCAUGUAAUAAACUCAUUUAAGCAACACCAGCUCGAUUAAUAGCAAGUUAUGAUUGGUGGUGGCCCAUAAUCCAAAGUGCAAUAAAUCCAUAAGCUAGACUUUUACUAUGUUUGGAUCAGAUUAUCUUUCAUCUAAAUCAAUUCUGAAACCGGGAAGCUUCUUCCCAGAUUUGAUUCGGACUUCAGAAUCAAUUGUAGAAGAGUUUCUAAGUACAUGUUUGGAAAUUCGUUUGAAAACCACCGUGAAGCAAAAAAUCAUGGUGGAUAGAAGCAACUUCUCUUAGUUUUUGCUUCCGUCCGCCGUAAUUUUGGUUUCACCGUGAUUUUCAAAAAAGUUUCCAAACAUGCAUGCCACUUUUCUAUAUGGGGCUUCACAUCGCUGAACCAAAAAAACUUUAAAUCCUCAUUUCACAAAUCAGAUUCACACUAAGAUCAAUUCCAUUCCUUUAAAAGCAACAAAAACAAUCUAAACACAUGAUCAAUGCAUAUUAAAAUCAGAAUUUGCAUGUCUUGACAUUUUGAACUUUACUAAAUCAGCGAGAGAGAAAAUGUACCAGGUAACUCCCAGGGCUCCCAUUUGCAGACAUCGAUUUCUCGGAUAACCCAAACAUCAUCACCAUUAUUGUUGAUCUUCUGCCGGAGGUAUAAAUCGAUGAUGUCCUCAUCCGAUGGCUGGAAUCGGAACCCUAACGGCAAAGAAUUCAGAGACAACACCGGCAUCGCCGUCUCAACCACACCCAUUAACACAAAAAAGGGAAAACCAAAAUUGAGAUAGAGUAAAGGUGGAAACUUUGGAUGGAAUGAACCUGGAUCAAAUAUAAAGAGUUGAAAACCUAAGCAGAUGCUGACGUGGCUAGUGUAGAGUGUAAUAUAGAGAUAAUUUGGCGGCGUCAUAAUCCGCACUUUAGGAUUUAUAUAUUAUAAUAGAUAGAUUCGGAUAACAAUUGUUAAAUCCUAACACUCUAUUUUGUUAGUGAGUAUGGAGUAAGCCAAAGGAAUGAGCCUAAUUAAACGGUUUUGUUUUUAGGCAUCAUGCAUACAUGACUAUCAUUAUGUAUGAAGCCUUUUAUUGUGUUAGAACAUGUAUAAAGCAUGAUUAGUUUGUCCAUGAAAAGAAAGUGUUAAAGAAAUUAUUCGGUCAAUGACAUUAAUAUUUUUAACAUAAUUCCUUUUCAGUUGUAUCUCUAAUAGAUAUAAAUAUGUUUCAUGAUUUUAGCGCAUUGAAAUGCUAAAAAGUAGCACAUCUCAUUUUGAGCACCUUCCCCUUCAGCUGCUCAGCACAGGCCUCAUAGUGCAUAUUUACAUUAAGUUCCACAGUAACUGGGUGACUAACCUGGAACAGAAGCCAAUUAGUAAUGAUUCAUUAACCAAUAGCCGGAAGGGGGUGGGGGGAAACAAAAAAAAAAAGUGAUAUUAUACCUGAGAAUUAACAAAUUCUGGCACAGGUUCUCCUUCUGCUUCAGGCAAUAGAGAUAUAACUUUGGCUAGUCUUUUUGUUUUCUUGGUAAUUAUGUUGCAGAUUGCCUGAGGCUCCACUGUUCCUUUUAUCAUCACUUCAUUUUUAGUCAUAUCAAUCACAACUCUCUCAACUCCUGUUUAAUAGAGUAUAAUAGACUAUUUUCUGCAGAUCAAUCACAACACUCUAAUCUCUCAUUUUAGUCAUAUCAUACAUGAUGAUAGUCAUGUAUGCAUGAUCCCUAAAAAUCUAAAACCGUUAAUUUAGCCUCAUUCCUUUGGCUUACUCCAUCCUCCUCACUAACAAAAUAGAGCGUUAAGAUUUAACAAUUGUUAUCCGAAUCUAUAUAUUAUGUUUUUCUCAAAAAAAAAAUUAUAUAUAAAUCCUAAAGCGCCGAUUAUGAUGCCGCCAAAUCAACUCUAUAUUACACUCUACACUUGGCACGUCAGCAUCUGUUUAGGUUUUCAUUUCUUUAUAUUUGAUCUAGGUCCAUUCCGUCCAAAGUUUCCACCUUUAUUCUAUCUCAAUUUUGCUUUUCCCUUUUUUGUGUUAAUAGGUGCAUUGAGACGGCGGUGCCGGUGUUGUCUUUGAAUUCUCUGCCAUUAGGGUUCCGAUUCUCGGAUGAGGAAAUCAUUUAUCUAUACCUCAUUGCGUUUUUAAUUUCAUAAAAUUAUCCGGGCUUCUGUAUGUUCUCCAAAAAUACUGGACCAACAUAAAAAGAAUGCUGCAGCAGAAUGAAUAAUAUUAUUAAAACAUCAAUUUCACAAUUACAGCAACCUGCCUACCUUUUUUUUUAUAAGCCAAAGAAUAUAUUGAAAAGAAGUACAAGCGAUACUUCACCCCAAUAGAGUAGCAAAGACAGUUUAAAACAGCCAUUGGAAUUACAUCCCACAGAGAACUUAAAACCCCUUGGAGGCAAGGCUUUUAAGGAUAUGCCUCACUAAAACCUUACUAGGCCUACUUACAUACAGGAAAUUGCAGGCAAGAAAUAAUGUCCUAAAAUAUGUAAAAUGCUACUAUUACAGUAAGAUGAAUCAACAAAUAGCAAGUAGGGUUCAACUUCAAAAGGCAUCUGAUAUAUAUACCUAAUUUGACUAGAUGGAAAUGACACAUCAAUUUAUUUGGAUCAACAAAUAACUCCAUCAUGGCAGACUACUCUUCAACACCACCUCAUGUUUAUCAAAAGUUCAUCCACCCAAAUAAGAGAAUUUGAAAAGAACCUGAAGUUUAUCUUGGCGCUGAUGCAGCAACUUUGCAGCCCCAAGAAGCAUUGUGGUGUGAGCAUCAUGUCCACAAGCAUGCAUUCUGCCAUCAAACCACAAACAAAACAGUAAUUUUUUUCCCUAAAGCAGAUGAAGAAGCUAAAGUGGGGUUACCUGCAAAGGGAGUGCAUCCGUGACAGCACGAAUUGCAAUGAUGGGACGAGUACCAGAGCCAAUUUGGGCAAGAAUCCUCGUUUCGGCAACUGGGUAUGUGUAAGGUAUGCCAAGCUUGUCAAGUUCACUGGUGUUGUGCUCUUGGAAACCCAGUUCUGGGUGCUAUGAAUCUCCCUUCUCACCUGAACCAACCGAUCUUUUUCCUUGUUGGCUGCAUAGGUUUCUUCAUCCCCUUCAUACCUCACCACAGCAGAAAGGCAAAUGCAGGACAGAAACACAACAAGCACGUUAAUGGCUACCAUCAAACAUUCUAGAUCAUGGGUUCUUUCAUCUCUUUCAAAGUAACAGAUGUGGGAAAUUAUGCACAGAACUCAGAGGUCAAAAACAAAGCUUGGGAAGUGAAAUAAUUCAUAUCUGCUAUCAUUUGACUAUCAAAAUUGUUAAAAUGUCUUGUUGAUACCUUAAUCAUUAAGGUGGAAAGAGGUGGAUAAGGCAAAGAGACAAAAUAGAAAAUAUGAGAUUUGAUUUUUUUUUUUUUUUGUUAAGGUAGAAAGCUUAAAUAAGAAGGAAGUAAAUUAAGUACUUGCGUCUAAACUCUAAAUACAAGAACUCAUACGAGAUUUGAUAUGUGACGUGAUAGAUUGUAUCUUGAUUUAAUUUAAUAAAAAUUUGCUUUAAAAAAAUGGAAGAGAUAAAUAGAAUCAAAAUUUGGUGAAAAUGAAAUAGAAAAGAUUUGGAGUGUGAAAAAAUCAAAAAAUUAUGGAUCUUUACCUAUAAAAAAUGCUAUUUUUUGUUUGUUUAUAAAGCUUGUGCAUAACCCUCAUAAUAUCCCGGUUGUUGUUGUUAUUUGGUGGUCCUGACGUUGGCGAAAUGAUCAUGGGAUGGGUGGUCAAUAAUGUUGUGUGUCAAGUUUUGAACGAUGUUGUGUGUUUGAGGUGAUGGUCUACUGUAUAUUGGCACUGCUUCCUUGACUAUAGUUGUGAACCUGUGUUAUUUUGCAUAUAGUAGCUUCAAUCUCAUCUCUAAGAGAAUGUGGUGCACUACAGUGCAAUUGUGAGAGAUGCUCAUGGUAAUUGGAUUUUCGAAGUGUCAGUUAGCUUUGGGUUUGGAAAUGAUUUCCUCACAGAAGUCUUAGCCAUAGAAAUUGGCUGGUGGCACAUAUGGGAUCUUGCCCAUAAGGCGGUUCUUUGUUACUCUGAUUGCUCGAAUUUGGUUGAUACAUUUCAUCAGAAUUUGGAUGUGUCGUAUUUCAUGGCGAUGAAUUCUAUUAUGAGGGUUCGAGUCUGGCUUGGUCGAGACUAGGAUGCUCGCAUUGCUUACAUUCUAGGGAGAAUAACAAUGUGUUAGAGAUAAAUAAGCAUAAUAUCCUACGAGAUAUUUCUUUAUUUAUUUAUUGAGUUAUUUUGUAAUAUGCCUUAGAAUAUUCUUAGCAUAUUAUGUACUUUCAUUAUUAUAAAUAACAUUGUCUACCUCACACACAAUUUUUGGUGAGAGUAUCUAAUCUUACAUGAUAUCAGGUUUAGGUUACAAACCCUAGCCUCCAAACCUAGUGCCACCACCUUUCUCUCCCUUUUUACUGGUCCAGCCGCCGCUCCCGCCAACCUCUAGGCAUCUCUGUUGUGCUCCUUCAUACUCAAAUUCUGGGCAAAUUGACGUUAUUUUUUGGUGCAGUCGUUCUUUUCUUUUUUUUGCAGCAGCCUCGUGUUUCGCGCUGCCAGACAGCCGUCAAACUUGUUGUCCACUCACCUUACGCGCCGCAGGUUUCUGUCACCUCACAUCUCGCGCCGCCAGACACCUUUCCUGCGCUACCAGACCUCAUGUUCCGCGUCGCUCCCUUGUCCAUGCAAGCCGCUUGCUUUUCCUUGUUUUCAACUCGCCGCCACACGUCUCUCUCUUGUUUCCUGUCGCCUCUUCUUGGGAUUCGACUGCCUUCAGCUUUCGGGAUCCGCGCUGGUUCCUUUUUCUGUGCCUGUUGACCGCUGCCAGUGCAUAACAGUUGAACUUUUCAACUUUUAAAUUAUCUUUUGUGUUGUCUUUUGACCAUUGAAUAUUUUUCAGAAUGGCCGACACACCUUCUCCUUUGUCUCUUCCAUUUUCUGUCUUGGUGCACAUGAUUACAGUGAAACUCAAACCAGAUAAUUUUCUCCUCUGGAGUAAACAGGUCACUGCUCUUCUUCAUAAUCAGAACUUGUAUGACAUUGUUGAUACUACAGUUGAUCCUCCGUCAGCAUUUAUCCACCAAACAUUUACACAAACAGGCACCCAACCGCUUCAUGAUGGUGCUUCUGCUCCGAAUCCUCUAUAUGCUCAGUGGCAGGCUCGCGAUCGUAAUGUCAACAAUCUGCUUCUUUCCUCUCUGACUGAGGAGGUCUUAUCUGAAACUCUUAGUGCAACCACUGCUCGUGAUGUUUGGGUUGCUCUCCACUCUGCUUAUGCUUCACGAAGCAAGGCACAUGAACUCCGUCUCCUUGAUGAACUUCAGCUCAUGCGUCGUGGCUCUCUAUCUGUUUCUGAAUACGGAAGAAAAUUCCGCACUAUUUGUGACCAAUUGACUGCUAUUGGUGCAAUUGUUCCUAAUGAUGACAAAGUUCAUUGGUUUCUUCAUGGUCUUGGCUCCUCCUAUGCAAAUUUUUCCACGGGUCAGCUUGAUCAACUACCCCCACCUCUCUUUACUGAUAUUCUUUGUAAAGUCGAGAGCCAUGCUAUUUUUCAGGCUUCUCUUGAGGAAUCAAUGAUCCCUCCACCUGCGAGCCAUCAACCACGCUCUUCUGGUAAUCCGUCUUCUAAUAGUGGCAACUCUAGUGGAGGAUCUCGUCAGCAUCGCAAUAAUGGUGGCUCUAGUCGUCGUGGCUCUUAUACUCCUCGUUGUCAAAUUUGUCGUGAGCAGGGUCACUAUGCUGAUAAAUGGUCGGUUCGCUGGGCUCGUCAUUCUGAGUCUACAAAUUUGGCACAAUCAUUUGCUGCAAGUUAUUCGUUAAACAACUCAAACCGGUUCGAUUGGUAUAUGGAUACGGGUGCUACCUCACAUAUGACUCAUUCUCUAUCUCAGCUGACAGACUCUCAUGCCUGCUCUGGUAAUGAUCGUGUUCUUGUUGGUAAUGGAGCUGGUUUACCUAUUACUCAUAUUGGCUCUCGUUCUGUUUCCCAUUAUGUAUAUUUAUCUAAUGUCUUGGUUGUGCCUCGACUAACCAACAAUCUUGUCUCUGUUAGCAAAUUGACUCGUGAACACAAUGCUAGAGCUAUUUUUCAGGAUGAUUCUUUUGUUAUUCAGAAUCGACAGACAGGCACCGUUUUGGGAAGAGGCCCAUGUGAUAAAGGGCUUUAUGUGCUUGACCAAGGAUCACAGGCGCUGCUUGCUUCCAGUUCUCCAUUACCUCGUACCUCUUUUGAAUUGUGGCACUCAUGGUUAGGACAUGUUAAUUUUGACAUUAUUCAACAAUUGCAUAAAAUUGGUUGCUUCAAUGUUUCCUCUAUUUUGCCGAAGCCUAUCUGUUGUACUUCCUGUCAGAUGGCUAAGAGUAAACGUCUAGUCUUCUAUGAUAAUCAUAAACGGGCUUCUGCAGUUUUAGACCUUAUCGAUUGUGAUUUGUGGGGACCGUCUCCCGUUGCUUCUGUUGAUGGAUUUUCUGACUUUGUUAUUUUUGUGGACGAUUUUUCCUGGUUUACUUGGUUUUUUCCAUUGAAGCGCAAGUCUGAUUUUUUUGAUGUACUUGUUCGAUUCAAAGCAUUUGUGGAAAACCAAUUCUUCCGGUCGAUCAAAGUUUUUCAAAGUGAUAAUGACACUGAGUUCACUAAUAACAAAGUCCAGGCUUUAUUUGCUUCUGCUGGUGUGCUUCAUCGGUUUUCAUGUCCUCAUACUCAGGCACAAAAUGGACGGGUUGAACGGAAACAUAGACAUGUUCUUGAGCUUUGUCUUGCUAUGUUAUAUCACUCACAUGUCCCUACUAGCUAUUGGGUUGACGCUUUUAGUACUGCGGUAUAUAUUAUUAAUCGUGUGCCUUCUAAGGUGUUAUCUGAUCAGAUUCCUUUCCAGCUCCUAUUUCAGGUUGCACCUACGUAUGCAAAUUUCCAUCCUUUUGGAUGUUGAGUGUUUCCGUGCUUGCGUCCCUACAUGAAAAAUAAAUUUAGUCCUCGGAGUACUCCUUCCAUAUUUCUGGGAUCCAGCAGUCACCACAAAGGAUUCAAAUGCUUCGAUCCGACUACUUCUCGCACUUAUGUGUCCCGUCAUGCUCAAUUUGAUGAAUUUUGCUUCCCUUUUGCAGGCUCAAACUCUUCUACCAAUGACUUGGUGGCCUCUACAUUUUAUGAAUCAGCUGCAGGUUCUUCUCCAUCUUCACAACCUGUUAUUCCUGUCGUUCCGGAGAGUUCCCCACCGACUGGUCCUCUACCUUGUCCAUCUUGUGCUGACCUAGAUGUUCAGCCGGUUCUUGCUAAUGAUGCACCACCUUGGCCAGUUCCUCACAAUGAUGCUCCACCUUCGCCGGCUCCUACUUCACCAGCACAACCGGCCACCCCUCCUGUUGCGACUCAGGCUCCGCCUACUUCACCGCCUACCACUCCUCCUGUUGUGGCUCAAGUUCCACUUGCUCCUAUUGAUGCUCGUCCGCGGACUCACUCUCAGAAUGGUAUUUUUAAGUCGAAUCUGCGUUAUGCCUUGGUUCACGCUCAGCCUACUGGCCUUCUCACUGCUUUGCAUACUAUUACUGAACCUAAGGGAUUCAAAUCUGCUAUGAAUCAUCCUCACUGGUUGGCAGCUAUGGAGGAUGAACUUUCUGCCCUUCAUAAGAAUUGUACUUGGACUUUGGUUCCUCGUCCUUCCACUACCAAUGUUGUUGGAAGUAAAUGGGUCUUUCGCACUAAAUUUCAUAGUGACGACACUGUUGAGCGCUUAAAAGCGCGUUUGGUGGCUCAGGGUUUCACCCAGAUUCCAGGGUUUGAUUACUCUCUUACUUUCAGUCAUGUUGUCAAAGCUAUUACUGUACGCCUUAUUUUAUCUCUUGUUGUGCUUAAUGAUUGACAGCUUCAUCAGUUGGAUGUCAAAAAUGUUUUCCUUCAUGGUCAUCUCACUGAAACUGUUUAUAUGGAGCAGCCUCCUGUAUUUGUUGAUCCUCGUUUCCCGACUCAUGUGUGUCGGUUGAACAAGGCUCUCUACGGCCUCAAACAGGCACCUCGUGCUUGGUUUCAGCGCUUGAGCUCCUUUCUCCUGCGUUAUGGUUUUUCGUGUAGUCGGGCUGAUCCAUCCUUGUUCUUUUUCUGCAAAGAACAUAUUACUCUUUAUCUUCUUGUGUAUGUGGAUGACAUCAUUCUUACUGGUAGUGAUCCCACUCUUCUGACUCAGUUUAUUGCUCGUCUUAAUGCUGAGUUCGCCAUUAAAUAUCUGGGUAAGCUUGACUACUUCCUUGGUCUUGAGAUCACUUAUAUUGUUGAUGGCUUGUUCUUGGGACAGGCCAAAUAUGCACAUGAUUUGCUUUCUCGUGCUAUGAUGCUUGAGGCCAGUCAUGUUUCGACGCCCCUGGCUGCUGGUUCUCAUCUUGUCAGUUCCGGUGAGGCUUACUCAGAUCCUACACAUUAUCGUUCUUUGGUUGGGGCCUUGCAGUACUUGACUAUUACUCGCCCUGACUUAUCGUAUGCUGUUAAUACCGUUAGUCAGUUCCUUCAGGCUCCGACUGUGGAUCAUUUUCAGGCUGUCAAACAGAUUCUUCGUUAUGUCUGUGGCAUGCAACACUUCGGUCUUACGUUUCAUCGCACCUCUUCCCCCGCUGUCCUUGGUUGUAAUGAUGCUGAUUGGGCUCGCUGCACGGGCACUCGCCGCUCGACUUAUGGCUACGCUAUUUUUCUUGGUGACAAUCUCUUGUCAUGGUGUGCCAAGAAACAACCUACUGUUGCUCGCUCUAGUUGUGAAUCUGAGUACCGCGCUAUGGCUAAUAUUGCUUCUGAGCUAGUUUGGUUGCUUAAUCUUCUUCAUGAACUUCGUGUUUGGUUAUUAGCGACUCCUCUUCUUCUUAGUGACAACCAGAGUGCUUUGUUUAUGGCUCAAAAUCAUGUUGCUCAUAAGCAUGCCAAACACAUUGACUUGGAUUGUCACUUCAUUCGUGAGUUGGUUUCCUCUGGUCGACUAGCUGUUCGCCAUGUGCCCACUUCUCUCCAACUUGCUGAUAUUUUCACUAAGGCCUUGCCUCGUCCGUUGUUUGACCUUUUUAGAUCCAAGCUUCGAGUUGGUCUUAAUCCAACGCUAAGUUUGACGGGGGGUGUUAGAAAUAAAUAAGCAUAAUAUCCUACGAGAUAUUUCUUUAUUUAUUUAUUGACUUAUUUUGUAAUAUGCCUUAGAAUAUUCUUAGCAUAUUUUGUACUUUCAUUAUUAUAAAUAACAUUGUCUACCUCACACACAAUUUGUGGUGAGAGUAUCUAAUCUUACACAAUGCAACAGAUGCGUUAGCCUGACAAGCUUGCAGCGAUCACACUUUGCACCAUAUUUGGAGAAUACCUCGUCUAUUGUUACUCUGACCUUGUGCUGGAUGUGCUAGUCUAGUUUUAGCUGUUUUUUUAGUAUUUCUCUUGUAACAAAAAAAAUUUCAAUUCUAAGGUAUUAAUUUAACGGUAUUCUUCCGUGACAUGAGAUUUCAAAUGAUACUAGUGUCAUCUUUACUUAUUUUGCAAGUUGUCAAUCAUUUUAAAUUUUCUUAUUCUAAUGCUUAUUAUUUACUGUUUCUUUUCGUCUAUAUUUACUUAAAGUAAUAUAAUAUGUCAUACAUUGUUAAAGUAAUAUGUCAUACAUUGUUGUAUUUUUGUACCUUAGACAAGGUACCGAAGAAGCAUCAUUAAUUUAGUGAUGGGUAUUUAUAUUAAUAUUUCAAUAAGUGUCUAUGAAAAACAUAUAUUAAAAAUUGUGAUUAAUUUUAUUAAUUUUGAAAAAGUACGAUUAAUUUUAUUAAUUUUAGAAAAGUAUUAUUUAUUUUUCUAUAUUUCCCAUAAAAUAUAUUUUUAUUUCUCUUUAUUUACUCUUCUCAUAAAGGCAUUAUUAGAUGCUCUCUUUAAAUUCUAAUUGGUUAUAUAUAUAGAAAAAAUAUCUCUUUGAACAGUUAAACAUAUGUUUUUUUUUCGAAGAAUGUUAAACAUAUGUAUUGCCCGUUUAUUUAAUGGUUUCAGUUUUGUCAAAAUAAAUUGGGUCUAGUUAUGUACCAAAAAAAACUUGGGUUUAGCUUUUGUGAACCAUCUAUUAAUUUUGUUUGGCUAUUAAAAAUCAGUUUUAACUACGGUUUGAAUAUAUAUUAACCCAAACUUUGUGUAAGUAAUUUGGGACCUGAUUUCAAAAAAAAAAAUUUGGGACCUAAAUUUUCAACCCAUCAACCCUAGCUUGUCAAAAGGAUUUUUGAGAAUUCAAAGCCAUAUUCUUCAUUUCAUAAUUUUUUUUUGUACUAGUGAGUCAACCCGCCAUUAAGCGGGACGAAUUGACUUUUCUAACUCACAUUCUCUGGAGCGCCAACUCACUCUGAUCUGCUUUAGGCAGGUUGAGGGAUAGACAAGGCAAGGCGAGUUGACCCAAAUUGCCACCCCUAUGACAAACACAAUUAAUUUCCUACUUUUAAAAAUUAAGAAGGUUCAGCUAAUUAAUCUAUAACAAAGUCAAUGUGGUUCAAGAAGAUUAUUAUCACUAGGAAGGUGUGAACUAGAACUUAAAUCUUGAACCUCACAUGACAAUAGCAAAGUUCGCGGUGAGUGGUCAUGACGGUUGGGCUAGGACGUAGCGAUGAAGGUGGUGACGACGGGUUCACGAGCAAAGCAACUACAAGGACUUCUCCGGCAGCGAGGCUAGAGCUCUUCUCCUUUCAUAUGUAAAACAAAAACCUUAACCAAGACCAACUAAGUAUGACAUUGAGAGAGACAUCUAGACUACACUGAGGCGAAAUUUUAUUCUUUUUUCAACAAACUUCUCUCCUCUUUUGGAUGGGCAUGGAUUUAAAGAAAAAAAGAGAUGAGGUUUGAAUUAGGGAACCCAUCACCCUUAAAAAAUAGUUGAACUCGACGAGUUAACUAGCCCCUCCCAUUGCAAAACCACCAAGCUUGUUGGCUGAAUGUGGCGGGUUUUGUGAGUUGGCGAGCUAGAUUGUCUGACUCACUUUCCUAGCAGGUUGGCUCAGCAGGUUGAACCCACAUUGUCACCCCUAACAAAGGUUCAGGUUUACUACUCCAACUGAAAUGUCAUUCCAUUAUCCUAUUUUUAUUUUUUUUUCACAAAAAGAGAAAUUAUCAAUAUUCAUUAUUCAAUCAUGCUAGUGAUUAGGGCUUGAUAAAUUCAGAUUUGUCCCAUCUUUCUCUUUGAGUCUAAAAAGAAAUUAAAGAAGAAAAUUGUCACCUCACAUUUUGCUAUAAAAAGUUCCAAUUAGCUACCAGGUACUUAUUUAGCUAGCUAAUGACAAUCCUCGAGGCUUCUCAACAAGAAAGUCCAUGGGGGGAUUUUCUUCUGAGUCUGAGUGAUUUUCACUAAUGCCACCCAAUUAUGGUACCUCCGUCCGGAAUUAUUGGGGUUUCGUGCGUAGUAAACAAGUACAUAGCGUGCCAUGUGAUGUUUGUUCUUAUAGGUUAAGCAAAGACCAGUUUUCAACUUCACUCAUUAUUGCUUGUAAUUUAAAACCAUACAUGUAAGAUGCCAUGUGGCAACACUUGUACUGAAUUGUAGAAAAAGCUGCAAUCAAAUAUGGAUAUACUACUACAAGAUGCCCCAUUAAUAUAACUACGUUCCAUUAUUUUAUGACGAAACAGUGAAACACUUUCACCGUCAUGAUUCAUGCACACUAGAUCUAACAAUGCAUAGCCCACAGAAAAUGCUAGUAUGCAAUGCAAACAAUAAUAAUUCAGCAUUGAAGUUUCUUCUUUUGGUCUUUGCUAAUAAUCCCAUGUGUAACUAUGAAAAGGAGAAACAAAGAGCUUAUAGGAUAGAGUUUGGAAAAAAAAAGUCAAAACGGUGAAACUGAACAUCUCAUGUAAAGCAACAGAGUCUACAGACUAGCCAACCAGGUGAGGCUAUAUAUUAUACACCAACUAGAUAUGCACACACAUAUAUCUGAGUUAUCAACAAAAUCUAAGCAAGUCCCAACCCUACAUGCCUCUCCUCAAUUGACUCCAAAAUAAAAAAGUAAUGAUCUCCUAGUCUAGAAGUUCAAAAUCUAAAACAUCCCCAAAUGUUAGUAAAGACUAAAGACCAUUACUGAGACCAUCACAAAGGCAGAAACUACAAAAACAGAAGACCACAUAGCGCGAUUGGAAGAAGCUUUUGAUAUGCAAGGCACCCUUCUGAGCAGUAACAAGUCUUUCAACACCUUGGUGGAGGAACCUGCAUUUGAACCUCUUUGAUAAAUCUUUCUAUUGUUUGUUGACUUAGGUGUCUUUGGCAUUGCUUUCACAUGAUUAGUAAGAGUAUCAUCUUCAUCAGCAGCAAGACUUUCUGAAGCUUUCUUCUCCUACAAAAGAGAAACAAUCUUACAACACAUGCAGGCAGAGACAAUCUCUUCGACACGCGAGCUAAUUAAACAGAAUUCUUACCACUGCAGUGAUUGGUUUUGAAUUACGAUCUUCUUGUGCACGUCUCCCACCUUUCACCACCCGACUUGAGCCGUGUGCGCUCUUUAACAAACGGAUUCUCCUAUUUGCAGAACCUUGAUUUAUGUUUGUGUUCACAAGUUCAUUUUGCGCUUGUCGAGCCCUUAUUAUGAUUCCAGUAUCACCACCAGUAGCUACAUUCCAAUUUCUCGGUUGCUCAUAAUCAUUCACAACGUUGUACACUUGGCCCAUACUAACAUCGGAUGAAAAGGUCAUCUGGGCAGCAUUUUGAUUUUGAAAUAACCCAACAUUGCUCUUCUGCUCAUCGCCACUAUGGUCAAAGGGGACGCCAACGGGGCUGAAAAACUCUGGCGCUGUCCCCAAAGGAAUCUUCAUGUCAAUUGCCUCCUCAGGAUACG
rnacentral:lncRNA from 1 species